rnacentral:rRNA from 1 species
AGGAUGAACGCUAGCUACAGGCUUAACACAUGCAAGUCGAGGGGCAGCAUGGUCUUAGCUUGCUAAGGCCGAUGGCGACCGGCGCACGGGUGAGUAACACGUAUCCAACCUGCCGUCUACUCUUGGACAGCCUUCUGAAAGGAAGAUUAAUACAAGAUGGCAUCAUGAGUCCGCAUGUUCACAUGAUUAAAGGUAUUCCGGUAGACGAUGGGGAUGCGUUCCAUUAGAUAGUAGGCGGGGUAACGGCCCACCUAGUCUUCGAUGGAUAGGGGUUCUGAGAGGAAGGUCCCCCACAUUGGAACUGAGACACGGUCCAAACUCCUACGGGAGGCAGCAGUGAGGAAUAUUGGUCAAUGGGCGAGAGCCUGAACCAGCCAAGUAGCGUGAAGGAUGACUGCCCUAUGGGUUGUAAACUUCUUUUAUAAAGGAAUAAAGUCGGGUAUGGAUACCCGUUUGCAUGUACUUUAUGAAUAAGGAUCGGCUAACUCCGUGCCAGCAGCCGCGGUAGUACGGAGGAUCCGAGCGUUAUCCGGAUUUAUUGGGUUUAAAGGGAGCGUAGAUGGAUGUUUAAGUCAGUUGCGAAAGUUUGCGGCUCAACCGUAAAAUUGCAGUUGAUACUGGAUAUCUUGAGUGCAGUUGAGGUAGGCGGAAUUCGUGGUGUAGCGGUGAAAUGCUUAGAUAUCACGAAGAACUCCGAUUGCGAAGGCAGCCUGCUAAGCUGCAACUGACAUUGAGGCUCGAAAGUGUGGGUAUCAAACAGGAUUAGAUACCCUGGUAGUCCACACGGUAAACGAUGAAUACUCGCUGUUUGCGAUAUACAGCAAGCGGCCAAGCGAAAGCGUUAAGUAUUCCACCUGGGGAGUACGCCGGCAACGGUGAAACUCAAAGGAAUUGACGGGGGCCCGCACAAGCGGAGGAACAUGUGGUUUAAUUCGAUGAUACGCGAGGAACCUUACCCGGGCUUAAAUUGCAGAUGAAUUACGGUGAAAGCCGUAAGCCGCAAGGCAUCUGUGAAGGUGCUGCAUGGUUGUCGUCAGCUCGUGCCGUGAGGUGUCGGCUUAAGUGCCAUAACGAGCGCAACCCUUGUUGUCAGUUACUAACAGGUUCCGCUGAGGACUCUGACAAGACUGCCAUCGUAAGAUGUGAGGAAGGUGGGGAUGACGUCAAAUCAGCACGGCCCUUACGUCCGGGGCUACACACGUGUUACAAUGGGGGGUACAGAGGGCCGCUACCACGCGAGUGGAUGCCAAUCCCCAAAACCUCUCUCAGUUCGGACUGGAGUCUGCAACCCGACUCCACGAAGCUGGAUUCGCUAGUAAUCGCGCAUCAGCCACGGCGCGGUGAAUACGUUCCCGGGCCUUGUACACACCGCCCGUCAAGCCAUGGGAGCCGGGGGUACCUGAAGUGCGUAACCGCGAGGAG